rnacentral:rRNA from 1 species
AUUGAACGCUGGCGGCAUGCCUUACACAUGCAAGUCGAACGGCAGCACGGGAGCAAUCCUGGUGGCGAGUGGCGAACGGGUGAGUAAUAUAUCGGAACGUGCCCGGUCGUGGGGGAUAACGUAGCGAAAGCUACGCUAAUACCGCAUACGAUCUACGGAUGAAAGCGGGGGAUCGCAAGACCUCGCGCGAUUGGAGCGGCCGAUAUCAGAUUAGGUAGUUGGUGAGGUAAAGGCUCACCAAGCCGACGAUCUGUAGCUGGUCUGAGAGGACGACCAGCCACACUGGGACUGAGACACGGCCCAGACUCCUACGGGAGGCAGCAGUGGGGAAUUUUGGACAAUGGGCGGCAAGCCUGAUCCAGCAAUGCCGCGUGCAGGAUGAAGGCCUCGGUUGUAAG